AGGAAGAGAAGCGACACACAAAAUGAGAUCUCCUCGUUAAAUAGUAUAGACGAUUAAUCAUUCUUACGGCUACCAUUUAAAUGCAGGACCAGAACAAUCAGUUAUGUUUCUGUCUCUCAAGUUUUCAGUCUUCUUUGAUUUAUGUUCCAGACUGUCGACCGUGAUUUGAGCUUGUUUGUUUUUUCUGCUUCCUAUAAAUACGCUACUUAAUUUGGAUUCAACAACAAUUUCUCCAAAUGUUGAGAUACAGGUCUGGAAACUCUGCACAUUAGAGCUCACAUUCCAAGAAAGAGUGGCACAAUUUAAAUUUUGUUCUCGACUAAUGUUUGAAUCAAUUUAUCCUUUCCGUCAACAUCCUGUUCUAUUUGUUUAAGGUACAAGAAUGCCUGAAGAUCUGAUGCAUGUUGUUUAAUGUUCGCCAUGUUAUUUUGGUAUUCAGUGACAUCUUUUUCUGUUUGUUGUACUGAUGUUAACAAUUUCCGUAUUUGAUUGCUCUCCGCUUCCACUGUGUCGCUCAGUUCUUUUAAUAUGUCUUCUUGGAGUUGGUCAAGAUAGUUCACGAUUUUUUGUUUUGUCAUUUUUAUUUGGGACUCGAUAUCUUCUCUUGUUUCCUUGAUUGAUUUCAAAUUUUCUUCUCGGUCUGUUUGAAUUCUUUUAAUAUUUUCAGAAAUUUCUGCUAAGGUGUGUUCGAUUUCAACGAACGCAUUUGAAGAUUUAACAUCUUUGACGACAUCAUCAAUAUCAACAAAUUCUUUACACUCGUUGUGAGUCUCCACAAUGCACUUUUUACAGCAUGGGCAAUCGUGCUUAUUACAGUAUAGUUGGAACUUUUCGUUGUGGACUUUGCAAGUUUGUGUUAUCUCUAGAAUAGUUCGUGGUAGUUUGUUGUAUUCUUUGACAGGGGAUGUAAAGUGCCCCUUGGUUGCCUUGGAGAUACUGUGAUGUUCAGUACACUCCUUACAUAGACCUUCGUCACAUUCAGAACACCAAAUUACUGAUGGUUUAGUUAUUUGGCGAAAAUCACAUAUACCACAUACAAACGAAUUAUUCGCCAUUAUCCUAAAAC
rnacentral:lncRNA from 1 species